rnacentral:lncRNA from 1 species
CCACCAUAAUCAGUAGUGUAGUACAAUCAGGAGAGAAAUCUGAACAAGCUCUCAAAGCUAAACAGCGUAUGUGACGCCAAUUAUUUAUCACAGACAAUGCUUGUUUUCUUUUCUUAUUCUUUCAUUUCCCUGUUUCAGAGUGUCUACAAUUUCUAAUAGUAAUCAGGCAAAGUCUUUAAGACGUGAAUCAGGACCAUAGAUUAAAAUAUAUAAAGUGAUGGAGAUGGUUCUGACGGCCAGGGGAGCUGUCUGGAGAUAUUAUGGACACGUUAUUCUGAUGGAGGAAUGGCUAAUUGUGGCUCUGCGAUAAUUUCCCAGAUUCUCAUCCAGAGAUCGAGUUAAAGAUUCUAGAGCAUCAUGUCUCCAGCUGAUCUAACCGCUUUGGGGAACCAUAUAAUGACCUUAAAAACAAACAUUCCUUUGUUCUGUGUACAGACAUUUCCAGGCAGUUAUCUAAAGAUAUUUCUACUUCCUCCUUUUUGUUGUUCUUUCCCCAAUGAAAACAAUGCUACUUGUUAUCCGACGAAAGUCCCUGGAUUUAUCAGACCACACGGUACAUUGAGUUAGUUUGGGAACUCUUUGUAUUUAUUUCAAUAAAUUGUCAAAUAUUACCCUAAAAGACUUGGGAUGGGGUUAGUAUAUGGUAUAUUGAGUAUAUUUUAUAAAAAUUCCGGUUAGGUCUAACCUUAAAGGGUUAUUCCAGGCACCAGGCAGCAUGCUAAUGAUUUAAAGUGGUCAUGGUGUUUGGACUCUGGAUGUACGGUGUUCUGCUAUGAUACUCUACACUAGCACUGGUGACAGGCGUCUAAUGGCGGCACGGCACACCCCCUCAGCCCAUCCCCAGCAUACGUCCCCUUGCCACUUCUAUUAGGAGGUUAGUUUCAGCCUAAUGGUUUUUUUUUUGGUUUUUUUGUUAAGUUUGGGGGUUACUCAGGAUAGGAAUGCUUACUCUAUCCAAAGACCCAAUGUUAUUAAAACACUCUUUUUUGGUUGGAGUAACCCUUUAACAUGGGAGAUAUAUGAGAACAUAAUAUACCCAACGACGUAUCUUGUCUUCCAUGUUAAACUUAGAGUAGGCCUGCACAGUCUGUGCUUGUGUUUCCCAGUUACAGUUUUUUUUACAUACAUUGGUCAUUUCAGAUUCUUACAGGUCAUUAAUUUGCACCAAUAGCCUUUGUGUUCCAUGAGAGGUCUCGCAGUCAGUCUGGGCGCUAGAAAUCUCGCAGUCAGUCUGUGUGCUCCAUGAGGAUUCUUGCAGUCAGUCUGUGCAGUGUGCUGGAGGUCUCACAGUCAGUCUUUGUGCUGUGUGCUGGAGGUCUCGCAGUCAGUCUUUGUGCAGUGUGCUGGAGGUCUCACAGUCUGUCUUUGUGCUGUGUGCUGGAGGUCUUGCAGUCAGUCUUUGUGCAGUGUGCUGGAGGUCUCACAGUCAGUCUUUGGGCAGUGUGCUGGAGGUCUUGCAGUCAGUCUUUGUGCAGUGUGCUAAAGUUCUCACAGUCAGUCUGUGUGCCAGAGGCCUCGCAGUCAAUCUGUGUGUGGUGUGCCAGAGGUCUCGCAGUCAGUCUGUGUGUCAGAGGUCUCGCAGUCAGUCGGUGUGUGGUGUGCCAGAGGUCUUGCAGUCAUUAUGUGUGCCAGAGGUCUUGCAGUGAAUCUGUGUGCCAGAGGUCUCGCAGUCAGUCGGUCAGUCUGUGUGCUGGAGGUCUAUAUUGUGCCAGAGGUCUGGCAGUCACCCUGUGUGUGGUGUGCCAGAGAUCUCACAGUCAGUCUCUAUGCCAGAGGUCUCGCAGUCAGUCGGUGUGUGGUGUGACAGAGGUCUCGCAGUCAUCUGUGUGCCAGAGGUCUUGCAGUCAGUCUGUGUGCCAGAGGUCUCGCAGUCAGUCUGUGUGCCUGAGAUCUCGCAGUCAGUCUGUUUGCCGGAGGUCUCGUAGUCAGUCUUUGUGCCGGAGGUCUCGCAGUCAGUCUUUGUGCCGGAGGUCUCGCAGUCAGUCUUUGUGCCGGAGUUCUUGCCAAUAGUUUUAAAGGGUCAAUGAUGAAGAUCUUGCACUCAGUACGUUGAUAAUCUUUUGAUCUUCAUUUCGGUCUCUUUCAUUGAGUUGUAAAAUUCGUGUCAGGUUUCCCACACCAUGCCCGAUGCGAACAAAGUUAUGUUGCCUUUCAAGUAUUAGCCGUUCAGGUUGGCACUGUGGUAGUAGUUGUAUCAGAAUGCCCCACGGAAGACCUCAGCACAGUUAUCGCCAUCUCUGUCAUAAGUGGAAAAAUUCAUCACGUUUGCCAUAGCUAGAGAGUCUCCUGCCAUCAGUAAUUAAAGAAAUUUGAUGAGUUCUCAUCAUUUUCAUCAUCAUUAGCACUAUAUGUUUUAUUUAUAUCUGCUAUGUCUGUGAGCAUCAUAAUGGGACCAUUUCUAUUUAACAUAUUUAUAAA